UUGAACCUUCUGCAUGAUGAUGUGGAAAUGCUAGGGUACGCUGAGCAGGUUGGGGAUGCAGCUCAGGAGGGACACGUUCUAAUUUCUCCUAUGGAAAUACAAGCGUACAAGCUGGAGUUGCGGCCGCACCAGUAAACAGAAAAGGUUAAUUUGGUUAUUCUAUGUGGAUGAUGAUGGUAUGGGUUAGUGGCAAAGCAGUGAUUUUCCAUGUCCCAUUGUCAUUUGUCAAAAUAACCAAAGCUUAAAAUUCAAGAGUAAUUAGCUGUCUAACGCAAACUCAUAUGAUAUCUGAAGAC
rnacentral:misc_RNA from 1 species